GUGCUUGUUUGGACAGUGCAUAUACUAAAAUUGAAGUGAAAGAGAAAAAUUAGCUUGGCCCCUUAGGAAGAAUGACAUACAAAUUUGUAAAGAAUUUCAUAUUGUU
ensembl:snRNA U6 U6 spliceosomal RNA